UCAAACAGCUUCCAAAAUAGACAAAGCAACAUUGAAGAUGAUUCGAUGUUGCUGUAGUAGUUGCCAUAAGUCGUAAGCCAUGUUUAUAGUGUUGUAGUUGGCUAUGGCAAGAGCAAUUCAAUUAACUCAAGGUGGCCAACAAUAGGCAACAGGCAAUGACAAAACGCAGAUAAGCAUUUAACGACACAUUUGUGUAUGUUUUCCACGUUGCCAAAGUCGCAUAGCAGAGUUACAAGCGCUGACAAAGCCAAUUAGCAACAUCUAACGGUAGUUCAAGCAACUUCUUAUAAAUAAAUAACGCAAAACGAAAGAGAAAGACAGACACACGAAAAAGUCAAAGCUUAGACUAUACAUACAUACACAUACACGCAGUUAUAAAUAUAUAAAUAUAUAUAAACAACAAGGAAAUGACGUUUUCAGAUUAUUUUUGGACGCUUAACCAUCGCGAAUAAUAUUUUACCGAUUUUUGAACUAGCUGCUAUAGCGGAGGGCAGCAUAUCUGUGUAUAUACUAUUUACUGUAAAAAAAACUAACCAAACGAGUUCAAGCGAUGAAAUCUGCUUUUUUUUGCAACGACGACGGCAUUGAAACUAGGCAUGAGUCACGCGCGUUUUGAACACAUUGCGAGAGCAAAGUCAGCCUUUAUCAGCUGUUGGGACCUGCUCAAACUAAAAGACACGCAGCGACCAUUAACUGCGCAUCUAAAUAUAAAAUAAAAUCAAUAAACUAAAUAAGAAAUAGACAACGCUAACGUCACGAGUAUUAACGGAACGCGAGUGGGUUGGAUGGAUGUAAGUAGGUGGAUAAUGCCGGACAGCGACAACAACCGUUGUGUUGUGGCAACCGGGCGUGCGUUUUGUUCUUAUUGGGGCCAGCAUUCCAAUACACAGACAUGCGCCUUGUAACUUCCAGCCAUGUAACUGUGUGGGUAGAGCUAGUAACGGUGUUCCACAACAGCAACAAAAACAACAGCAGCAGCAAUGAAAUAGCUAGACGGGGGCGUUUGGGUCACACGCUGCACAAGAUUUGAAAGGCGUUCACUGACGCUGCGAAAAAAGGGUUACCAGCCAUAUAAAAUAAUAUAUGUACUAACUAACACAAAUAUACUCUCACACAAAGGGGUAUUUAAUAUUCCAA